UUUAAACGUUUUAAUUUUUUCGUGAUAGCACUUAAAACAAAUAUGCAUUGUAUAGCUAUACAAAAAUAUUUUCUUCAUAGACUUCUGCUAAAGGCUGUAUUUUCAAAAUUUUUUAUUUUUCUGUUUACUUUGAAAACUGUUUUUGUUAAACACUAAGAUAAAAAUGCAUACAUUAGCGUAGGCCCACACACAUUCAUGGGGUGUUCCACCUCCAUGUCUUGUUGCUCUAGAAUGUCUUCAGGGUCAAUUACAUGCAUGGAGCUGUCAUUUCCUAUGAUAAUAAUGCCUUCUUCUGGAUACCUUCUGAAGGACUGGCCUGAGGAUGUUUUACAGUUAAUAAUUUCUAUGUAAGUAGGAGUACACUCAAAAUGAUGAAGUAUAGUAAAUACACAAACCAGUAACAUAGUUGUUUAUUAGCAAGUAUUAUGUACCAUACAUAACUGUAUGUAUGAAGACUUUUAAAUGACAGUCAGGUUUGAUUAACCAGCAUUGCCACAAAUAUGAGAGUAAUGUGUUUGUUGCAUGGUAACUAUCACAACUACAGUGCCACCAGGUGAUUGGAAUUUUUUAGCUUCAUUAAAAUCUUAUGAGACCAUCAUUGAAUAUGUGGUCCGUCAUUGACCAAAACAUCAUGAUGUGGCUCAUGACUGUAGCUCUAACUGCCUCAGAAGAUCCAGGAAAAAGUAGGUUCCUCUGAGGCCAGGAGCCCAUUCAGUAUCUUAGCCCAUGCCUUGCCUUAUAGGUAUGUGUCAAUCACGUGUCCUGUUUUGCUUUCACAUUUCUUUUAUCCUCCACUAGUUCCCUUUUAUUUGGUUGAUAUGUUUUUUCUUUUUUUCCCAGAUAGAUACAAAUAGCGCAGCCUUUUGCCAAAGAAAUGAUAUCUUGUUUCCUUUGCCAGGAGCUGUGUACUUGCAACAGUAAUAUAAAUGUGCGGCCCACAUUAGGUACUCAAGCAACUUGUCAUUUGUUUGAAAAGGAGCCCUCUACUUGACUACAAGAAACAGGAGCCAAAUGAGCUUGAUUCCUUCCUAUACCAGCCAGCAAUGCAAUUACAAGAACAGGGACUGGGGAAGGACAAAGUGAUCUGUCACCCAUGCACACAGGUGCAGGGGCUAUGUCCUUGAAGUGGUUGGUUGUGCUUGGGACUCUGCUUUGGUCUGUUAAUUAUAUAUUGUAACAUGGGAUUUCAUAAGUGACUGUAAUUCAUUGGUAAUUUCUUGAGAAAUUACAAUUUUUGAAAGGAAAGUUUUUUUUUCUUUGUGUCCCCUGAUGGAUUCUCAUGGUUUGUAAAAUCUUUAGAAUUCAUAAUCCUUAGGUAAUACACUUUGUAGAAACAGCAGGAGUGUGAGGAUCUGCAAACCUUCUUUUCUUCACUGAUGAGUAUAAAAAUGCUGUGGUUUACUUCAACUGUCGAAAGUGGGACUUUCUUCAUAUUUAAGCAGUGGUGUUCUCUUUUCAUGCUGAAAAGCAUGAAUUGUCAAAAAUGGACAUCUUGCCAUGAAUAAAGAUGAAAACUGAGUAGGUGACUCACAAAUGUGCUUGACAAGAGAGAAAUGGUUUGAAUAUAGAGUGUAUAUAUACUCUUCUGCUAAAAACUUGGGAGACCAAACAAGUCUGAUUGCAAUGGGUAACCAGCAAACAGGUACAGGGACAUCAGUGUGUUCUCAUGAUACCCACAUCGCCAACCAAACCUCUUCUGUGUGCUCUUGUUUGUGAGACUAAGAUUCAGCUCUCUUCAGACUAGGAUCACAGCUUGGGUGUGAUUUGAUCCUGCUUCAAGCUGGCACAGCCUCAGAAGCCCUCUACCAUCAGAAUCGUGCUCAGAGGAAAUAGCUGGAGACCAUUCUUGAAGAACUGUUAUCUUUAGUACUGGAGUUCAGUGUCCUGUUUGGGUCUCACUGACAUGCUAUUCCAGGGACACUCACUGGCAUCUGAAACCUCAUUCUGGGAUCUGGGAAUGAAACAGAAUUCAGGCAGGAAGCCUUAGAAGUGCCUUAUGUUCAGAAAGACUCUGUGUCCUCUUAAGGGAGCAUCAUUGGGUUCCUGCAUUACAUGCUGCAGAUUACCAGGACAAUGCCUGCUCCCCCAGGAGUUUGCAAUCUUCAUGUAAUUUAUAAAAACGUGUCCAUCCACGUUAAUCUAAACAAACAGUUCUCAAUGGUGCUAGUGGUGGGAGGAAAGGGCUGCUCCCGAAGUCAUUCUUUGGCAAUGUCUGAAGACAUUUGUAAUGACUGAGGGACUGAGUGCUCCUGGCAUGCCAAGUAGUGAAGAAAUGCUGCUAGAUAUGCUGCAAUGCACAGGAGAGCUCUGGGAUAACAUAAAGUAUUAUCCAGUCCCAAAUGGGAAACCCUGUUUUAAAUUUUUACUUGAGACAGGUUUUAUCCUUUACUUAGCACAAUUCUUUAUGUAUAAUAAAGGGAUUUGCUUCUUUGUUCAUCAACUAACAGAGGUUCCUAACAGAUUGUAUACCAUUUCAUAAAUAUUUGUCAAAAGGAUUAAUAAAUAUUAAAGUGGAUUAAAUUUAAUAAUGCAAUAUAAAGAAUAAUGAUGUGGGGGGUAGAACUGGGUUUGUAUUUUUACUCCAUAAUUUAAUAUUCUGUAGUUUUGAUCAAGUUACUUAACAUUUCAGAAUCUUGGUUGUAUACUAAUAUAGGAUAUUAGUACUCACUACUGUACUUAGAUUUGAAUAAAAUAUAAUGUAUGUACAUAAUAGUUUCUUAUAGGAUGCAUUUUUUGUCCCUUCUAUGGCUAAAUAAAUUUUGAAAGGGUGAAUGCAUAGCUUUUUAAAUUGAUAAUCCUACAUUAGAUAUCCCACAACGUAUUAUUUUGGGGUUAUGUGUUCAAUUUUCUUUUGAAUGACAUCCUUUGUGAAAUCAAGGUUAUUCUGGCUACUGUUUUCUUUUGAUUGUUGUUGCAGCCUUACAGUAGAAGGAUUGAGUUUGUAUUUGGGUCUGUAUGCUGUUACCUGUUCUUUGUGUGCAAAAAUGUAAGCACUAAAUGCUCCAGAUGGUACCACAGAUGCGGAAAGGUUAAGAGAUGUAAUCAAUUGUCAUACCGGGGAGGCACUCAAUGUGAUUUUGAGUUUAUUGUGAGUCCCUACUGACUGAAUUAGAAUGUCAUGUUCUGUGACAGGAUCGUAAUAGAUUAGAUGCUUGCUCCUCUCUGCUCUUCUGGAUAAAUAAAGGGGAAAUGCAGUUGUGAAUUGCCUCACUCAGUGGUGGGGACUUCCAUGAUUGUCUGAGAAUGUCCACUCACACUCUCCACCUCACAGUUCAAACUAUUUAAGCUCAAACCUUGACAUCUCCUCUGUUGUGGAACAAAUGAAUCAUAGUAGUAUCAGAAUAUACCAGAAAAUGCUGUGCCUGCUGAAGGAAUAAAGGGAGGGAGAAGACUCCAAUUCUGAAGGGGAAAGCUCAAAGUUUGCCUUUAGUUUGAGGAAGAAAGCAGCACCUGAGGUGGUAUUGUUUGGUAAUAGAGUAAUAGAAGGUUGCUUGAUAAUAGGUUUCUUUCUUACAUAAAUUGGGAAACCCAUAAUUUGAGAAAAGUUAUUUUCCACAGGUAAGAAAGAAUAGCAUGUAUUAUAUAGGUAGGCUAAUGCCCAUAAACCACCUAAAGCCCUUUGAAAAUUAUUAACUUUUUUGGCAAGUCUAGGUCAUGUAAUUUCCUUCUUGAUAGCAAUACUUUUGACCAUGUAAUAUUGUAAGCCAUCAUAAUAUGGUGGCUCAGCCAUUCAGUAGUAGUAGAAAAUGUGAAAAAAAAAAAAGUUUUGAAAUAGAGGCUAUGAUAAGCUAUUGCUCUUAAAACUAUAUGAGAGGUAAUUUCAUUUUAAAAUUGGUUUGAUAAAGUCACUUGACAUCACACUGUGGCAUCUGAAAGUAAAAGUUCUGGACUAGAAAAUCUUCAGUCUUCAAUACGGCUCUCAUGAGCUUCUAUGGCAAUUACACUCAGCUGUGAUACUCAAAUGUGACGAACUCAUACAAGUUGUAAGCCUAACCUAACAUUAAGUGACAGUUAGUGAAAAAAAUUACUAUACUAAUGUUUUAACUGAUAUUUCUCGUUGAUAAUGGAUUAAAUCUUCUAAGAUAAAGUUAAUAAAAUAUGUAAACUAGCUUGUGAAAUUAUAAUUAUUGUACUAACAGGUAAGUACAAAUGUUUUUUGUCACAAUUCCCUUAGAAUAUCAUUGUUAAUAAAAUUUUAAGAAGUUUUAAAGUGAGAAGCAUGAGGACUUAAAAUUAGCUUCCUUGGUUUUCUUGAGUUUAUGGAAUAUAUUUUCAUCUUUUAGUCAUAGUUAUGUUUUUAAAUAACUCUGUUCUGCUCCAUGAGAGACAUUUCAGUUCUAAAUGUAUGCAACCAAAUUAUCUCUUAACCCUCAUUUUCAAACUGCAGUUCAAUCAGUAUACUCCAGAUGGCACACAAUGAUGAUAAAAUUAUGCAUAUGUUACAUUGAGGGAUUGAAUAUGCAAACAGAAGGAGCUGGUUAACUAAGGCUUUUAAAUUGCUUCAGGACUUUACCAUUCUCCUACAUAAUGAAAAAAAACACAGAUAAUGUUUUGCUUAGUUUUAGGAUUUGACACUUUUUAAUAUAGCAAAAUGAAAUGCAAUUGUAAUCCAUAAUAGUCCACAUGAAAUUUUGCCAAUGUCAAUAUAAAAGCAAAUGUUUUCCUACAUAAGUCUGUACAUAGUGAUGCAUUUUUACCUUAGUUUAUUACCAGUGAUUUUCAGAUUAUACUUCCCUCAUGAGAAAAAACCAAUCUAAAUUAAUAUAUGUCACAAAUUAAUAGGCAUUUUUCUUUUCCUAACUACAUGAUUGGGACGUCAGGUCAUCCUCUUUUGUUUGCAUAAUCUUAGAAAAACAUAAUAUUUGGGGGAAUAUAUAGGGAAGAAAAGCAAACAAAAGUCAUUUAUCUCUAAUUACCAAAGGAUUAUCAACUGUUCUAUUAUUGAAUAAUGUUUUCACAGCUCUAGGGCUCUUUAGUGUGAAAGCUACUAAUCAGAUCCUUACAGUCACAUACAAAAAUAGUUAAAGAAAUCAUGUAUUUUUUCAAUGUACUGUUACACUGUUGUCUUCAGUAAAUCUACUCAAUUCCAAGGACAAUUGUUUGUUUCAGUAAAAAGCAUGUCCAUAUAGUUUAGAUAACUGUUAGUAUAGUUUUUAAGGAUUAAAGAAAAUCGAUGGUAGCUUAGCAGUAAACUCUUCUAUAUGACAACUUUGGAUUAUACGUAUAUAUAUAUAUAUAUAAUUUUCUACCUAUCAACAUCCAACCAAAAAUUAUUAUUUUGAAAUGUUUAGUCUUACUGCCUAAGGUAGGUUUGUGUAAAUUGGUGAUACUUUUUUUUUAAUAGACUUUCUUAGUUGGGAAGUCCUUUAUUCAUACAGGAAACUGGGUGUUUAUUUUUUUUUCUGUAGUUUCAUGCAUUGAUUUUGAUGAACAUUUCAUGCUAAAGGAGUUUCUAAAGUAGAACAAUUCAGAAUCCAUGAAUAGUAAUUGAGCCCUUUAGUUCUGCUCUAAACUUAAAACCAUUAUUCUCCAUUUACAGCAGACAAAUCAUGUUGCUCUACAGAACACUGCUCUGUCAUUUUAGUGUUUUGUGGUGGUUGCUUCCAGUGAGCUGGGCUGGAAUAUUAAACUCUCUUUGCUUCCUAUGCUCUCUCUUGCUGGGCUGGGCACAUUUAGGGUUCUGUUUGAAAUGGGCAAAAAGCAAUUCUGUUGUUCAUAAAGAAUAACUUGUAAGCUGGUGUGGGUUCCUGUACAUUCUUUAUUUUGUGAAGAGAAUGUGCUAUUUGUCAGGCUUUGAAUCUCUGGCAACCGGCUUGCUGAAACUCAGUUUAAAUGUACUGUCGUGCAUAAACAAUCAAAUGUAAAACAUAAUAAAAGUCUCUUCUUCUCACUGUAUUUCUCACAACAAACAAAUCAGCUCAAUACACUAUUCUAUGUACGGGGAGUUGUAUCUGUCAGAAACUAAUUUUAAGUGUCAUGUAAAAACAAAAAGAUAAUAGAAUAGUGAAAUAUUGCUUUUAAUAUUAAAAACGAACUCUAGCAUUUGAGAAAAAGUAGCUAUUAUGGUGCUUGCAGAGUGAUGUAGCCAAAAGCCCCUGUGCUGAGAGCUCAUUUCAUAGCAGGGCAAUCAUUUUCUAACAUGAACUGUCCUGUUACAAAAGUUGUCCGAAUACAUGUUUGGAUUCUCAUGAUCUGUUUUGUUUGCCUGAUGGAGAAAAACUUCGAGUAGCUCUUAAAAAACAAACAUACUUCUUUAACCAAAAAAAUAAAAUUUGUACUGGAAGCAC